AGCGGACUGGGGGUUUAUCAGCCAUUGUUCCGGGGAUCUAAGUCACUUCCCCAUCAAGGGGGCUGCGGGGUUGUGCUCGUUAAUGAUUUCUGGGCAAGGAGCUCGGCUUCUGAUGGGGGAGCCAGUUUGGCGAGGCUGCCGGGGAGAGGAGUGCUGGGCUCCGUCGGGCGAGCCGGCUGUCCUAGUUACCCGCAAGGCCUGCAGUCUGCGGGGGCUCAGCAGCCGGGCUCAACGAUUGGUUACAAUAAAACAGGGAGGUCUGUCUGAGUGGGGGGGCGCCUCCCCUCCCCUGCCCACGCUGCCGCCCCCUCCCCAGUCCGGCGCCCGGCACUCUAGGGAGCACCAGCGGCGCCUGCGCGCUACGCUCGGUGCCGCCGCCCGGCUGUCCCCACCUCCCCGCUCGGCAGGCAGCGGGCCGGGCCUGGCGGGACCCGGUGGACUAGUGCGAAGCUGACCGCAGGAAUCCAGGCUCCUUAGAGGCCUGGGCGGGUGGGGGGCGAGGAAGACUGCCUGCUGGGCCCCCCCAUCCCCCGGCUCCUGGCUCCCAAGGAAUCGUGGGGAACGUGUCUGUUGCUCUGCAGAGCCAGCAGGGUCUCACUUUGUUACCCAGAUGUGACGGCAAUUGGCAUGAUCAUAGAUCACAGCAACCUCAAAAUUCUGGGCUCAAGAGAUCCUCUUGCUUCAGCCUCCUGACUGUCUGAGAUUACAGGAUCUGGAAAACGCACCGAAAACAGAAACCUUGUCUGGUGUGCCACAAAGGGCUGGCCCAGCAGGUGGACAGGGGUGCCCAAUGGACACUCCUUUCUUACCUGUAAGGAGCUGCUUCACUCUCCUCUGACUCUUCUUCCCUCCCAAUCACACAGGGAGGAUGACAGGAAAUCAUAAGAUGCCUUUCUACACUUCAGUGGCCUUUGCUUACACUUAAAAAACAACAGUCCAACAGGAAUGGAACUAAAAGGGGGAGGGUAUUUCUUAACAUAUGUUGACCAAAUGAAGGGACAAUGCUUGACUUUCUCAACCAGGACAGCAUUACUGGGGAGAUGACUCUCUGGAUGGCUUCUUAAGUAUAAUCCUAGCAGAACGGCUGGAGUGAAAGCAACGCUCAUACGUGCAGUGGCGAUAUUUAUCCUCAGAUUUAUUACUUUAAAUACACUUGCCUGGCUCUGAACAGAGAUCAAAGCGAACGGCACCAAUAAUGGGACAAAUUGACAAUGUGUGUCCUCUGAUUUGACGCACUGAGAGGAACACAGCACCAUCUGUGAUCUCCCUGGUCAGUCGUAAGGAAACAUCAUCCAAACCCAAAUUGAGGGGAUUCUGCAGAAUAACUGGCUUGACAUGUUCAAAAAUAUUGAGGUAAUGAAAGACAAGAAAAGUUUAAAGAAUCAUUCCAGAAUGAAGAAGGCCGAAGAGACAGAAGUAAAUGUAGCAUGCGAUCCUGGACUGGAUUCCAAAACAGGACCAACAUGUAUUGGAGCAACAGGUGAAUGGGAAUGGGCCGGGUUGAUUAGACGGCGAUAUGAGAUGAUGAUACUCUGCCCUUGUCAAUUUCCUGCGUUUGAAAGGUAAAUUGUGGUUAAGUGGGAGAACGUCUUUGUCUUUUAGGGAAUUCACAGUGACAUUGCUUCUUGGACUGUGGUGUCGUGUCUCCGACUUUCAGGAAGCGUCUCCAAUUUGUUUCAGGAACACAGAUCGAUAAUGGAGAGAUCGAUACUGAUGAAGCGGAAGUGACAAUCUGUCAGCAAUUGAACCUGAGCAAAGAGCACAAGGCAAUUCUUUGCAUCAUUAUUUUAUCUUUUCUGUAAAUUCGAAAUUAUUUCCAAAUAAAAAGUU